GAAACGCGAUAGUUAAUGUGAAUUGCAGAAUUCAGUGAAUCAUCGAGUCUUUGAACGCACAUUGCGCCUUCCGGUAUUCCGGGAGGCACGUCUGUUUGAGCGUCAGCUAAACCCUUCCGGCCCUCGGCUUUUUGUCCGGGGGUACGGGCGUGCUGGCGUCAGGGGACUGAGCCCACCGUGCUCCGGCGCGGGCUGGGUCCUCCCCCGCUUAAACCCGUGGAAGCUAGCGGGCAUGGUCCCGGAUUGCGAACAACUCGUACAACCUACCGUUGCCAGCGACCCAAACCUGCCCCGCCUCCAUCUUUUUGAGAAAGGGAAUUUUUUCCCCGGACCAAUUUUUAAUCUUGACCUCAAAUCAGACGAGGAUACCCGCUGAACUUAA
rnacentral:misc_RNA from 1 species